CACAUGUCACACUUGCAUACAAAAUCAUUUCCAGUUGCUUUUCGAUAAGCUAUGAAUACUCAACGCCCCAAAUUAACCGUGAAUUGCACUAAUUAACCCUCGGUUUUUCCACAAGUUAUUGGAUUGGAUGAUUGCAUACGACAACCCAAAACAUUCCCUACAAGUUCCCUACAUGAAUUGCAUAAUAGAGAUACAAGCAAAAAUCAUUAAGUUCUAUGAAAAACAUAAGCAUUGACGAGGCACUCGUUACUAUGAUUUGCAUGAAACUUAUGCC
rnacentral:lncRNA from 1 species